GAACCUGUCUUUGGGACUUUCUAUAUACUGAAUGAUCUGUAACUUACAGCACCAAAUAGAAUAAUCUUUACAUAUUUAUGAAUGAGGACCCUCUACAUAUUAAUGAAGUUCACUCUUUGUUUUUCGCGUAGGUCCUUAAAGAGCCCAAUGUUCCUAGGGAUGUUCUCAGGCUACGCGCUAGGGCUAUGAAAAAGCUGGGGACAAUUUUUCAGGGUGCAAAACCAACGUACAGAAGAGAGAGCAGUUUGCGCAGUGAAAACACAGACAUGGUAGAUGGUGGUACAUCCUCGAAAUGAUGUUAAUAUUUUUCACUAAUUUUUGUGUAGAUACUUAUAACAGUGCAUCUGUGCUUGAGACUUGUUCAAUUUGGUGUACAUUUCUUGUUACUUUUUUGUAUCCCUCUGUUCUUCUUCGAAUACCAGUCGAUUCUUCUACAGCCAAAUCUCAAUUUGUGGAAAGUCGAGGAUCAAUUUUCAUUUGGUUAUACAAUAUCUCUUAAUUCUUCGUGAAUAUUUAGAUUA